CUUUAGAGGACUCUCUUACUUGGAGAUCCCUCCUUCUGGAGUAUUCAGGGAGCCCUGAUCCUUGGGGCAGUUUCCACUUCGGCUGUAUCAGGACUGAAACUGAGAUUCAGUCUCUCUAUCACUGUGUUUUAGAGCCCAAUCAGCAAAACUGGAGCAAGCUCCAAUGUUCGUUAAUUUUCCUUGAGGUUGUUGAAAUCCAGUCUUGGCUGUACCAGGCUCAGAGAGAGAUUGCUGAUUCAAAGCUUGGAUGUAAGCCUGCACCCGAUCAACCCAAAUGGCUGGGAAUCAUCUGCGCCUUGACUUAAAUGAGACUUCUGUCAGACAACCGGGCAACCACUUUAGCAGUGCAGCUGUGACUCUGCGAUGCUAAGUGAUGUUCACAAUUGGCAGCUCUGGCCUAGAGCCCAUGGCAUGGGAGGGACUUUGUCCAACGUGAAAUGAGUCUUUGGUGGAAGGCAGGAAACUUCAAGAAGUUAAUUCCUCACCUCAGCAACAGCUUCAUCUCUUAGGUUUCUUCACAGCCUAUGAGAAACACCCUUUUGGUAGCAGAUAGAAGGUGCUUUACAGAAGAAAGAACAAGGAAGGGCAUGGC
rnacentral:lncRNA from 1 species